CCUACGGGUGGCAGCAGUGGGGAAUAUUGGACAAUGGGGGGAACCCUGAUCCAGCGACGCCGCGUGAGUGAAGAAGUAUUUCGGUAUGUAAAGCUCUAUCAGCAGGGAAGAAAGAAAUGACGGUACCUGACUAAGACGCCCCGGCUACCUACGUGCCAGCAGCCGCGGUAAUACGUAGGGGGCAAGCGUUAUCCGGAUUUACUGGGUGUAAAGGGAGCGUAGACGGCGAUGCAAGUCUGAAGUGAAAGGCGGGGGCCCAACCCCUGGACUGCUUUGGAAACUGUAUGGCUGGAGUGCAGGAGAGGUAAGUGGAAUUCCUAGUGUAGCGGUGAAAUGCGUAGAUAUUAGGAGGAACACCAGUGGCGAAGGCGGCUUACUGGACUGUAACUGACGUUGAGGCUCGAAAGCGUGGGGAGCAAACAGGAUUAGAUACCCCAGUAGUC
rnacentral:rRNA from 1 species